rnacentral:rRNA from 1 species
UUUAACGGCUGGCGAGGAGGCGGGGAAAUACGGAGGUGGCAAGCGUUGGCUGUAUUUAUUGGGGUGAAAGCGUGCGCAUGCGGUUUCUUAAGUCUGUGGGGAAAGCCCACGGCGCAACCGUGGAAGGUCAUUGGAAACUGGGGAACUUGAGUGCAGAAGAGCAGAGUGGAAUUCCAUGUGUAGCGGUGAAAUGCGUAGAUAUAUGGAGGAACACCAGUGGCGAAGGCGACUCUCUGGUCUGUAACUGACGCGGAGGCUCGAAAGCGUGGGGAGCAAACAGGAUUAGAUACCCCGGUAGUC